UCCCUGGUGGCUCAGAUGGUAAAGCGUGUGCCUACAAUGUGGGAGACCCAGGUUCGAUUCCUGGGCGGGGAA
rfam:TPA: Bos taurus chromosome 1, whole genome shotgun sequence.